UCUUCAUUGUACUUGAAGGAGUUCACGAGACUUCGGCAAUCAGUCUCCACCAAAACCACGCCUAGCUUCUUCUAUUUUAUGUGCUUCAAAGCUUCAAGUACAGCUAGGGUUUCCAGCUGAAAACUCGACGCUGCCCGAACAAAUUUGGUGAAACUGUCCACAAGGCAACCGGAGGAGUCCCGUUCGAUGCAGGCAACCGCUCCUUCCGUCAACCUCUCAUAGAUCGACCCAUCAACGUUGAUUUUCAAAGUACCUGCUGCCAGAGCUUCCCAUGUUUGAGGUGUCCAGCUUAAUACCCUGAAAGAUAUAGUUGUUUAUCUCCUUCUAGACUUGCCAUAGAGUGUUUGAAAUCAAUUCCAAUGAUGGUUGAUUUCCGGAUGGCUCCAUACCCGUACAGUCCAAGGGCAAAGAAGGUGGAUAUGUUCAGCCGUUUCCAUGCUUUCUUGGCAAAGGUCAUAUAGCGGAUCAGAGUACAAGGAUUGGCUUGCGUUACAGAGCAGAUAUCAACCGUAUGAAGAACGGAGGAAGAAAAGGUACCUGAAAGUUUGAGGAAGAGGUGCACUUUACGCGGGGCGCACCACAACGAGGGGGGAUGGGAAAAAUAUUGUGGUUGUGUUUCCUUAGUAAUUAAGGGUGUCCAUAGUAGACUAUCCACAUAAGGGAAUAUUGGAUUGGGAGAUGACUGCAAAAGCCAUAAAAAAAACAAACAACAAAAUAGAAGCUCAGGGGUUUGCGAGAUAUUCGAUCCUACGAUGGAUCAUAUGGCGUGAUGGAAUCAACGAUCACUAUCGCAAGUCGUCACAGCUCCUCACCGGGAAAUGCACCAGCCGGGAAUCGAACCCGGGUCUGUACCGUGGCAGGAUUGCAGUAAUGGACGAAACCCCCAUGGCCGCCUCAAUGAUUUCCCACCACGUGGCAGUCAUUGGCGCCGACUGCUGACCUCGUAGCUGCCCGUGAACUCCGCCUCGAGGGCCACACAAGGUCGUCGUCUUUGAGCAUGAGUCCCGCGUCGGCGACACCUGGGUCUUCACAUCCAGCACCGAGACUGACCCACUUGGGAUUGACCCGGCCCGGGCCGUGGUCCACUUGAGCCUCUAUACGU